rnacentral:rRNA from 1 species
AUUAAACGUUGGCGGCAUGGAUUAGGCAUGCAAGUCGAGCGAGAAGUGUAGCAAUACACGGAAAGCGGCGGAAGGGAGAGUAAUACGUGGGAAUCUGCCCUUAGACCUGGGAUAGCAGCGGGAAACUGCUGGUAAUACCAGAUAAUGUCUAUGGACCAAAGGUGUGAUUCCGUCUAGGGAUGAGCCCACGUCCUAUUAGCUAGUUGGUAGGGUAAUGGCCUACCAAGGCGAUGAUGGGUAGCGGGUGUGAGAGCAUGACCCGCCUCACUGGGACUGAGACACUGCCCAGACACCUACGGGUGGCUGCAGUCGAGAAUCUUCGGCAAUGGGCGCAAGCCUGACCGAGCGAUGCCGCGUGCGGGAUGAAGGCCUUCGGGUUGUAAACCGCUGUCGAGGGGGAGCAACUUCCAUAGAGUUAUCUUUAUGGAUUGAGUGAUCCCUGGAGGAAGGACGGGCUAAGUUCGUGCCAGCCGCCGCAGUAAAAC